GGUGAACGCUGGCGGCGUGCUUAAGACAUGCAAGUCGAACGGCAGUCUUCGGACUGUAGUGGCGCACGGGUGAGUAACGCGUAACUGACCUACCCCAAAGUCGCGGAUAACGAUUCGAAAGAAUCGCUAAUACGUGAUGUGCUGUCAGAUUGUGUUCUGCCAGUAAAGCUUGAUGGCUUUGGGAUGGGGUUGCGUUCCAUCAGCUAGUUGGUGGGGUAAAGGCCCACCAAGGCGACGAUGGAUAGCGGGCCUGAGAGGGUGGCCGGCCACAGGGGCACGGGGACACGGGGCCCAAGCCUACGGGAGGCAGCAGUUAGGAAGGUUCCACAGUGGGCGAAAGUCUGAUGGAGCGACGCCGCGUGAGGGAUGAAGGUCUUCGGAUCGUAAACCUCUGAAUCAGGGACGUAAGACACUUCGGUGGGAUGACGGUACCUGAGUAAUAGCACCGGCUAACUCCGUGCCAGCCGCAGCCGUAAAAC
rnacentral:rRNA from 1 species